rnacentral:rRNA from 1 species
UACAGAGGUCUCAAGCGUUGUUCGGAUUCAUUGGGCGUAAAGGGUGUGUAGGUGGCGCGCUAAGUCAGACGUGAAAUCCCUCGGCUUAACCGGGGAACUGCGUCUGAUACUGGAUGGCUUGAGUUUGGGAGAGGGACGCGGAAUUCCAGGUGUAGCGGUGAAAUGCGCAGAUAUCAGGAGGAACACCGGUGGCGAAGGCGGUUCUCUGGGCAUUACCUGACGCUGAGGAGCGAAAGUGUGGGGAGCGAACAGG